rnacentral:rRNA from 1 species
GAUGAACGCUGGCGGCGUGCCUAAUACAUGCAAGUCGAGCGAACAGACGAGGAGCUUGCUCCUCUGACGUUAGCGGCGGACGGGUGAGUAACACGUGGAUAACCUACCUAUAAGACUGGGAUAACUUCGGGAAACCGGAGCUAAUACCGGAUAAUAUAUUGAACCGCAUGGUUCAAUAGUGAAAGACGGUUUUGCUGUCACUUAUAGAUGGAUCCGCGCCGCAUUAGCUAGUUGGUAAGGUAACGGCUUACCAAGGCAACGAUGCGUAGCCGACCUGAGAGGGUGAUCGCCCGCCCGGGAGGGGGAACACGGUCCAUAGUCCUACGGGAGGGACCAGUAGGGAAUCUGCCGAAGUGGGCGAGAGCUUGACGGAGCAACGGGGCGUGAGUGAUAAAGGUCUUCGGAUCGUAAAACUCUGUUAUGAGGGAAAAACAAAUGUGUAAGUAACUAUGCACGUCUUGACGGUAACUAAUCAAAAAGCCACGGCUAACUACGUG